rfam:Lupinus angustifolius cultivar Tanjil chromosome LG15, whole genome shotgun sequence.
AAUUUCAUACAAAAAAAAGGGUAUUAUUGAAGUCGUAAGGCCAUGUAUGGGACUGACGCUUGCCCAAUGUCGGAAGGUCAAGAAAGUUGGUGACCUGAUGACAAGGGAGCCGGUAAUCGAAGCUCCAGUGAACGGUUGCCGUAACUAUAAUGAUCCUAAGGUAGUGAAAUAGGCUCAGUGAAA